rnacentral:lncRNA from 1 species
UAAAAAGAUUUGUUUGAAGAUGUAAAAAGAAUCGAAACAGUAUGUCAGUCUUAUAUCAUUAAUGCAUAUAAUUAUUAUUAAUGCAUAAUUGUCCUGCAAAAGAACAACAGGAAAAACAGAAUAGGCCUAGGCCCUACUAGAAACCCCAAAAUGUUGGUAUACAACACUGGGCAUAUGGCAUGACAGGUUCUUCCAGGCAACUCGCCACCCCCCGCCCCCCACCCCAACAUUUAAUUACUUCGCCAUGCAAAUAUAUUGUUUCUGUCCGUAAAUUAUAUAAUGAAUAUAAAUUAUAAGAUAAAGAUCAAAUAAAAUUGAUUGUAUUUGAUAUUGAUAUGUGAUAAUUAUCAUUUUUUCUACUUUUCUUAACAGAUUUGUUGCCCACCUGCUGAGUGAGUUUGCAUUUCCAGUGCCAAGCCAAUGUAAACACGACUGAAAGGGGGAGGAGUCUACUUCUUAGUUUACAGAGAGAAACAAUAUACUGGGAGGGGCCUAGCCCCCGUUUUCUCUCCUGAAUCCAGUGCCCUAGUGAUGAUCAUUCCAGGUGUAACAGAGUAUCUUUGAAAAUGGCACGAAUACGAAAAAGUCCAUGAAUACUACUAUUUUCCCAAGGAAUAUAUUUGAAUAAUUUAUGUUUGUUGACAUAUCUUCUUGUUAGGUCAAUCAACUUCGUUCGCUCUUUCAUCAUCAGUGUUUUUUUUUUUUUUUUGUCUUAAUGUUGUAAAUUUCACCGGCGCCCAUGCUUAGUCACUCAACUCGUAGUACAGCAUACAGAAAAGUGGAUUAAAUUGAUAACCAUGUUAUUUUUAAUGUUGUGUGUUUCUUAAUAAUGUUUGAAAUACAGGCCUGCAUAUUAAAAUUUAGUGAAUGUCACCAGUUUAUAUAAAAUUUAUACUGUAAUGUGGAAUUUUGUAGUGUGGUUAAAGAUACUAGAAACACAAGAUAGAACUCUCGCAUAGCAAAUGUUAAGCAGAUAUACGUCAUACGUUUACGCAUUCUCGUGCCGUAUACGCAAUCUCUUUCUAAUGAUGACAAUUUACGUAAGUUUGUCCAUACGCAGCGCCUCAUUUAAUUGGGCGCCGCAUACGGCGGGAGAUAACUAAACUUAUGCAAGUACGCAUACCCAUCAUGCAUUUUGGUAAUAAAGAUUUUAUCUGUGGAGAGUUCUAUCUUGUGUCUAGUAUCUUUGGUAUGGUAAGGUAAUCAUGAAUCUGAAAUCAGAAAACAGGCGACUGAAUGUUGCACGGAAUCUGCGUUUUAUUCUGUUUUCAAAACUAACAUUAUAAGCGAUUGUUAGUAAGCUAAGCUUUACAUCUGCUGAAUUUCUAUACAUCCUCUAUUUUUGGGAUAUCUGUAAGAAUAGAUCUUAGUUAGUAAUGUUUAAAUCAUUGUAGGGUUUUGCCAGAUAGUAUUGUUACUACUGAAAAAUUCCGAAUAUUCAUAAUAAAAGUUUAGCUAAUUGUUUUAUGGAAGAAUUAUGAUGAUGCACAGAAACAUACAGUAGACAGAUUGUUGAAUCACACUUCUUCUCCCCACACUUCGACUUCGCAAAGUGUCAGAAAAUUGCUUGUGAGUGAGACACUGACGUACCGACCAGUAAGUUGAGGGCUGCACUGUCGACUGAUAA